rnacentral:rRNA from 1 species
GACGAACGCUGGCGGCGUGCUUAACACAUGCAAGUCGAACGGAACGGCCCUGCUUUUGUGGGGUGCUCGAGUGGCGAACGGGUGAGUUACACGUGAGUAACCUGUCCUUGACUUUGGGGUAACUUAAGGAAACUGGGGCUCAUACCGGCUAGGAGCUCCCGCCGCAUGGUGGGGGUUGGACAGUUUAGGUGGUUGGGGAUGGACACGCGGCUUAUGAGCUUGUUGGUGGGGUAGUGGCUUACCAAGGCUUUGACGGGUAGCCGACCUGCGAGGGUGACCGGCCACAUUGGGACUGAGAUACGGCCCAGACUCCAACGGGAGGCAACGGUGGGGAGUAUUACACAAUGGGCGGAAGCCUGAUGCGGCAACGCCGCGUGCGGGAUGACGGCCUGCGGGUAGUAAACCGCUGUCGCCUGAGACGAAGCGUUAGUGACGGUAAUGGGUAAAGAAGCACCGGCUAACUACGUG